rnacentral:rRNA from 1 species
CUACGGGGUGCUCCAGUGGGGAAUAUUGGACAAUGGGGGAAACCCCGAUCCAGCAAUGCCGCGUGUGUGAAGAAGGCCUGCGGGUUGUAAAGCACUUUCGGUUGGGAGGACUGCUUCUAGCACUAAUAUUGUUGGAAGUUGACGUUACCUUCAGAAGAAGCACCGGCUAACUCCGUGCCAGCAGCCGCGGUAAUACGGGAGGGUGCAAGCGUUAAUCGGAAUUACUGGGCGUAAAGCGCGCGUAGGCGGCUAGAUCAGUCGGGUGUGAAAGCCCCGGGCUUAACCUGGGAACUGCAUCCGAUACUGUCUAGCUUGAGUACAGGAGAGGAGAGUGGAAUUCCACAUGUAGCGGUGAAAUGCGUAGAUAUGUGGAGGAACACCAAUGGCGAAGGCAGCUCUCUGGCCUGAUACUGACGCUGAGGUGCGAAAGCGUGGGGAGCAAACAGGAUUAGAUACCCUCGUAGUC